rnacentral:lncRNA from 1 species
AUGCUGCUUCUGAAACCUCUGAGGCACUGGGGAGGAUGGCUCUGCGUGGUGGGGAGCUCUGGGCCUGUCAUCAGGGGGAUGCCAGCGAUGAGGGCACCCACGGCAAGCAGCUCCUCUGGGGGCCCAGCUGGAAGGCAGGAUUGGCCUGAUCCUAAACUGGCACCACUGGCGAUGAGCUGUGAGGUGUUCACAGCACAUCUGGCACAGGGAGCACUCACCCGGACACCUCAUCACAUGCUUCUCUCUGCCAGAGCAAAGCUGUCCAAGAAGCACCCGGCUGUGGCACUGAGGAUUAAGCCCUGCUACCAGCCCCAGCAUCCCGCUGCCUUCUGUGGGAGGAGAGCAGAGCAUGGACUCCUUCACUGGGCUGAAGCGAUCUGCCAGCUGUGUGCAUCGGAGAGAAACCAGAUCACUCAAGUUUGGAUGAAACUGUGCUGAGAAGGGUUUUUACUG